ensembl:snRNA
GUGUUCUACAAAAGAGGUUGGCAUACCCUGACAAGGAUGGAGGCCACUGGGAAGGCCGUGGGUAAGGCGCUGCACCUACUUUAUGGCAUCUAACCACUGUUUUAG